AGUGAACGCUGGCGGUAGGCCUAACACAUGCAAGUCGACCGGCAGCACAGUAAGAGCUUGCUCUUACUGGUGGCGAGUGGCGGACGGGUGAGGAAUACAUCGGAAUCUACUUUUUCGUGGGGGCUAACGUAGGGAAACUUACGCUAAUACCGCCUACGACCUACGGGUGAAAGCAGGGGAUCUUCGGACCUUGCGCGAUUGAAUGAGCCGAUGUCGGAUUAGAUAGUUGGCGGGGUAAAGGCCCACCAAGGCGACGAUCCGUAGCUGGUCUGAGAGGAUGUUCAGCCACAGUGGAUGAGAGACGCUGACCGGACUCCUAAGGGAGGCAGCGAUGGGGAAUAUUGGACAAUGGGCAAAAGCCGGAUCCAGCCAUACCGCGUGGGUGAAGAAGGCCUGCGGGUUGUAAAGCCCUUUUGUUGGGAAAGAAAAGCAGCACGUUAAUACCCCGCUGUUCUGACGGUACCCAAAGAAUAAGCACCGGCUAACUUCGUG
rnacentral:rRNA from 1 species